GCGUUUUAACAGUUGAUAUGCCAUUUUUCCCCUCUAGCCUAAAAUGAGUACUCCCACGAGAAGAAGUAAAAUAAGCUAGAACCAUUAUUAUACCCCCGGCCCCAUUUGAAGGGCCAUUGCGGUUGUAAAAUGGGGGUUUUCAAGGAAUAACGGUGGCGUACGGGAAAGUGGGAGUGUUGAAAUACACCCAUAUCUGAGACAAGCCAAAUAUAGAAAAGAAUAACUCAGCCGUGACCAACAAGGCAGGCAGCCGCAGCGACAAUUUCAGUAGGAUUAUUUCUGCAGUCACAUUCGAAAUAUCCCGCGCAAUGUGUGUCGGCGCUGUUUUUCUGUUCGGAGUAGCCGCGCCUUGGCGCUGUGUGUCGGAACGGUCGGAACUACGCGCGGAGGAGCACAAGCCUUCGGAGCGCGCGCGCGUACGUUGAAAGCCGCAAAGGGGCAGCCAUUGUCAGCGGCGGCGCAUUCUUCUACCGUGGUUGUUGUUUCUCACAGCAUUGAACCCCCAAGACUCCACGAUUACUGGAUACGCCGUCACUUGAACCUCGGCGGCCGGAGCAGGACUGUGGUUGCGGCCGUUUCGUUGCCAGCUGUGAGGAUGAAGCAGCUUCAUAACCGGAGAUCAGUCGCCUCCCAUCAGUUUCCCUUUUCAGCAAUAGAGGUCUUGGAUGCCUUUCUACCGGUGUUGCAUCCUGUGACUGACCACUCCAACGAUCUCGGCAGAAUCGUUACGCAGGAAGAAGUCCGGCUGGCCCCAAGCCUGGUGUGAAAUGAAGAAAUGGCACUCCACAUCAAUUCAUGUUUACUUGUCGUCAUAACCAGUCUGUUAGCUUAAUUUUGGUUCUUCUUAUUGAAUGCUCAAGAAAGGUACCAACUCUGUCAUUCA